ensembl:lncRNA
GGGUGACAUGUGGGUGAACAGUGGCCUGGGGUGUAGCCCACAGAGGAGGCGGUGGGUGUGGGCUCUGCACUGCAGGGUUUGCAUGUGGAAAGCCUGUGUGGGGUGGGCAAGUGUUCACUAUCCAGGAAUUGGCUGUUUGUGGGAGGGGCAGCCUCCCAGGGUCAACAGGCCCCAGAUGUCAGAGCAUCAGAUACAGAAAAUAAACAACAUGGUUACUAUAGCAUCAAAGGACCAAGGUUCAAAUCUCAGGUACUGCCUAUAUGAGCAAGUCAGGCCACCUCUGAGAUCUGUCUGCUCCUGUGUAACUCAGAGAGGAUCACACCAAUCAUUCGAUUAGACAACUUGUUUUUUUAAAUGUAGCUUAGUACUUGGCACAUUAUAGUUAUUGCUAAAUAUUAGCUAAUUAAAUCUUAUGGCAUUUAAAAUAGUAGUUAUAAUCUCUUACCCAACACAGUUUGGACUAGAAGUGUUUCAGAUUUUGAUUUUUUCAGAUUUUGGAAUAUAUGUAAUAAUCAGAUUAUAUUGAGGGUGGGACCCAAAUCUAAACAUGAAAUUCAUUUAUGUUUCAUAUACACCUUACACACAUAGCUGAAAAUAACUUGAUGCAAUACUUAAACAUAAUUUUGCGCAGAAAACAAAGUUUGCAUUUUGACCGUGACCCAUCACGUGAGGGCACGCACGAGAUUUUCCACUUGUGGCAUCAUGUUGAUGCUCAAAAGGUUUUGAAUUUUGGAGUUUUUCAGAUUUGGGAUUUUCAGAUUAGGGAUGCUCAGCCUGUAUGUGCACAGCUUCUCUGGCACUCUCUUCAAAAGAUGGAGCCUGGGCCGGGCGCAGUGGCUCACGCCUGUAAUCCCAGCACUUUGAGUGGCCGAGGUGGGCAGAUCACCUGAGGUCAGGAGUUCAAGACCAGCCUGGCCGACAUGGUGAAACCCUGUCUCUACUAAAAAUACAAAAAUUAGCCGGGCUUGGUGUCGGGCACCUGUAAUCCCAGCUACUCAGGAGGCUGAGGCAGGAGAAUCACUUGAACCCAGGAGGUGGAGGGUGCAGUGAGCCAAGAUCAUGCCACUGCGCUCCAGCCCUGGCAACACAGUGAGACUCAGUGCCAAAAACAAACAAAGAAACAAAAGAUGGAUCCUGAAGCCAGGUGACAUGGCUUAUACCUGUAGACUCAGCUACGUGGGAGGCUGAGAUGGGAGGCGUUCAGAAGUUCAGGAUUGGCCUAGACAACAUGGCCAGACCAAUCUCAAAAAAAAAAAAAAAAAAAAGAUGGCGCCUGUGCCUCUCCCCUGAGCACAGGUUGGAUUUAGCUGCUCUUUUCUGCUGAGUAGAAGAAACCCGGACAUGGCAGCGUGGGCCUCGGAGACACAUUCAUGCGAGGCACUCGGCUUCCUGUGUGCUCCUUCUCUUGGGUCAUGCAUCCUGGAGAAGGCAAACACCCCACAGGGAGGAUCCUCAGGCAGUGCACAGAGGGCCCCACGCGGCACGGAGCCGAGGCCUCCAGCUCCACCCCUCAACAACAGGGUCAUCCUGAGGUGGGCCCACCUGCCUCCGUUGAGCCUUUGGCAAAUGCAGCCACAGCCAGCCUCUUGACUGCAGCCUCGCAAGAGGCCCCGAGGGAGAACCACUUAGCGAAGCCAUCACCAAACCCCUGGCCCGCAGCAGCUGGGCACCAGAUGUGUCUUGCUUGUGAGCCAAGUGUUGGGUAGUUCGCUGUGCAGCAGUGCCAGCGGGUCUAACCUCAGGGGAAUCUCCAAGCUGGGCUCUGCCAGUACCAUUUGCAGCACUUAGGCCUGGAUAGACAAUCUCUAGAGAAGUUUCCAGAACCACUUGCUAGUCAGUUCCAGAGAUUUCCAGACAGAGGUGCAGGGGGUUUGGAAUCCUGCCCAUCUGUGCUGUGCUCACCUGGAUUGAAAUGGCCGGUGGUUGGCUGGGCGCGGUGGCUCACGCCUGUAAUCCCAGCACUUUGGGAGGCCAAGACGGGCGGAUCAUGAGGUCAGGAAAUUGAGACCAUCCUGGCUAACACGGUGAAACCCUGUCUCUACUAAAAAAUACAAAAUUAGCCGGCCGUGGCUUGUAGUCCCAGCUAUACCGGGAGGCUGAGGCAGGAGAAUGGCUUGAACCUGGGAGGCGGAGCUUGCAGUGAGUGGAGAUCCCGCCACUGCACUCCAGCCUGGGCGACAGAGCAAGACUCCGUCUCAAAAAAAAAAAAAAAA